ACUGCUCAGUAACACGUAGCUAACCUACCCUUAGGACGUGGAUACCCCCGAGAAAUUGGGGUUAAUCCGCGAUAGAUGUAAUGUCCUGGAAUGGUAUUACGUCCAAAAGUAUUCCAUACAUGUUUGGAAUAUGCCUAAGGAUGGGGCUGCGGCCGAUCAGGCUGUUGGUGAGGUAAUGGCUCACCAAACCUUUGACCGGUACGGGCCAUGAGAGUGGUAGCCCGGAGAUGGACACUGAGACAAGGGUCCAGGCCCUAAGGGGCGCAGCAACCGCGAAACCUCCACAAUGCACUCACGUGCGAUGGGGCUAUCUCGAGUGCCACCUGAUGAAGGUGGCUUUUCCUAGGUCUUCAAAGCCUUGGGAAUAAGAGGGGGGCAAGACUGGUGUCAGCCGCCGCGGUAACACCAGCCCCUCGAGUGGUGGGGAUGAUUAUUUGGCCUAAAGCGUCCGUAGCCGGCCGUGUAAGUCUUCCGUUAAAUCCAGCGUCUCAAGCGUUGGACUGCGGGAGAUACUGUACGGCUAGAGAGUGGGAGAGGUCAGCGGUAUUCUGGGGGUAGGGGCGAAAUCCUUUGAUCCCCGGAGGACCACCAGUGGCGAAGGCUGCUGACUAGAACACGUCUGACGGUCAGGGACGAAAGCUGGGGUAGCGAACCGGAUUAGAUACCCGGGUAGUCCCAGCCGUAAACGAUGCAUGCUAGGUGUUGGGUUGGCCACACGCCACCCCAGUGCCGCAGGGAAGCCGUUAAGCAUGCCGCCUGGGAAGUACGAUCGCAAGAUUGAAACUUAAAGGAAUUGGCGGGGGAGCACCACCAGGCGUGAAGCCUGCGGUUUAAUUGGAUUCAACGCCGGA
rnacentral:rRNA from 1 species